UCACACCCACAGAACUCUGUGAUGUGACAGACUGAGUCAAACUGAAGAACGAACAUAUUUUCAUUUAAUAACUGUCCCAUUUUGGUGAGAAAGACCAUGGAUGACACAUAGAAGCAUUUCUCAGAAGCAGAGCGACAGAGUGUCAGUGCUGGAUGUGAGGAUGGGACACACUGUGUGUGUGCUGGGGCUUUUCUUGCUGAAUAUCCUCCUCUACUGUGGACACGCUCAAG